UACGGAGGAUGCAAGCAUUAUCCGGAAUUAUUGGGCGUAAAGCGUCCGCAGGUGGCACUUCAAGUCUGCUGUCAAAGACCGGGGCUUAACCCUGGAAAGGCAGUGGAAACUGAAGCGCUAGAGUGUGGCAGGGGUAGAGGGAAUUCCCGGUGUAGCGGUGAAAUGCGUAGAGAUCGGGAAGAACAUCGGUGGCGAAAGCGCUCUACUGGGCCAUAACUGACACUGAGGGACGAAAGCUAGGGGAGCGAAUGGG
rnacentral:rRNA from 1 species